rnacentral:rRNA from 1 species
CCUACGGGGGACUGCAGUGAGGAAUAUUGGUCAAUGGGCGAGAGCCUGAACCAGCCAAGUAGCGUGAAGGAUGACUGCCCUACGGGUUGUAAACCUCUUUUAUAAAGGAAUAAAGCGAGGUACGUGUGCCCUUUCGUAUGUUCCUUAUGAAUAAGGAUCGGCCAACCCCGUGCCAGCAGCCGCGGUAAUACGGAGGAUUCGAGCGUUAUCCGGAUUUAUUGGGUUUAAAGGGAUCAUAGGUGGGUUGUUAAGUCAGUUGUGAAAGUUUACGGCUCAACCGUAAAAUUGCAAUUGAUACUGGCAGCAUUGAGUACAGUUGAGGUAGGCGGAAUUCGUGGUGUAGCGGUGAAAUGCUUAGAUAUCACGAAGAACUCCGAUUGCGAAGGCAGCUUACUAAACUGCAACUGACAUUGAUGCUCGAAAGUGUGGGUAUCAAACAGGAUUAGAUACCCGAGUAGUC